ACGUGCGCUUUGCAUCAUUAGAACCGCUUUUGUUCGCGUAUCCGGAUAUUGUCUUCUGGAUUCCCAUCUCUCCAAGAGUGUUCAGGGCCCUCCUGGUCGAGUUUCUUACUACUCCUGACUUCUCAGCCCAUGAUUUCUUUAGGAAUCACGCUCCAGCCAGCCGAUAGCUUUGUUGCCUUCACCCGUCACUUUCUCUGCCAGCCUUUGUUCUACAAUCAAGUGCUUUCCACCACUGGAAUCGCCGAAAUUUUAUGAUUCGGGUAGACAUCUUUUCUUGGAUGUGGCAAGUAUACCCUCCCAGCCGAUAGCUCCCACGUUUUCAACCGCCGUUUUCUUCGCUACUUUUGGUCGUACGAACUUACGCUUUGCAUCAUUCGAAUCGUCCAACUUUUUUCUAUACUCUCCCAGCCGAUAAAUUCCGACACCUUCAACCGCAACUUCUUCUGCUAGUGUUGGUCGUAUGAACAUGCGCUUUGCACUAUUCGAAUCGUCUAGUUUUUUCCAUCGAGAAUUCACAGCUUUUUGAUGGGUCGGCUGUGCAUUCGUUCGCUUUCAAUAGCUUCGCGAGACAAUGCUAACGUGGCCUCGGUGCACCUUGCCAACCGACGCCUUCAGUCUGCGAAGUCUCUGCCACUUUUGGUCGUACGAUUAAGCGCUCAUACCACUGGAACCAUCGAAUCCUCCUGAUCCCGGUUAUCAUCCCUUGGAUGCGACGCCGGCAAAUUCGCCGUCGUCUUUACCAUCGCGAUGACGCGAUGAUUCUUGGCAACGAAGCCUUCCAGGAACUUGACUUCUUCAAGCCCAAGCAGGCCAAGUUCAAAGCAAAACCUAAAUCUCGAUUGACAUCUCAGACGCUGGCGGAUUUAAACGACAACAUCCUCAUUAUUAAUACGAGAAUUCUAUUUAUCUCACACAGGAAAGCCAGGGCACACGACUUCAGACCAAUCCGCUGAACACCCCUGGUCAAGCGCAGACGUACCUUGAACAGCGUGCUCGAGGGGCAUAUAUUGCCUAGAUUUGUCGACCGGAAGCUGCUUUUGACCUGUCCGUCGCCACUCAAGUUCGGGACCCGAGCGACGACGACUGACAGCUGCUCAACAGAAGGCUGAAGUGGCAAAUCGAUAACCUUGGUCGGGGCUUACGAUACGUGCCUUUGGAUAUCAAGACUGCAAGGUUAUGUCGGGUCCUUUGUUAACAACAGGGACCUCCGUCCCAACUCGGUUUUGUCCUCACGCUCGUAAAUGAGUCUCGCUGGUCAGACGCAUUUACCAUCCAUGGCAAGAUCAUUCACUGGAGUUCUACCAAGUGUAGACAAGUUACAAGGAGCGUCUUGGCAUCAGAAAUUUACGGCAUGGUCAAUGGAGUGAAAAUCAAAAUUAUCAAUAGCCCAGACCAUUGGGAAGAUAGCUGAACGACUCGGGUUGCACCCAUUCCGUUGGUCUUCUACACAGACUCGUACUCACUGUACGAGUGCUUGGUAAAACUAGGGACAACGAAGUAGAAACGCC
rnacentral:lncRNA from 1 species